AAUCCAUGAUGUGGACAAAUGUUUGUCAGUUCCUUAAACCUUUCCCAACAAGCUUGGAAAGUCUCAUCACCUUUCUGCGUAAAUUGAAUGAUUUGCUCUUGCAGAAACU